rnacentral:rRNA from 1 species
GCCAACAGCCAUAUCACUCUGCAACUCACAACUAGCAACCCACUGAAGCUAAGCAAGUGUGAGCCUAGUCAGUACCUGGAUGGGAGACUUCCUGGGAAAAACUAAGGUUGCUGCUGGAA